rnacentral:pre_miRNA from 1 species
CGUGUAUUUGACAAGCUGAGUUGGACACUCCAUGUAGUAGUGUCAGUUUGUCAAAUACCCCAA